GCCGGCAUAGCUCUUAACGGUAGAGCAUCCGCCUUGUAAGCGGGGGGUUGUAAGUCCGAAUCUUACUGUCGGCA
rnacentral:tRNA from 1 species